GCCCCCCUCUUGUAUAUUGAUAGACUUUUAAUAAGUGUGUUAAGAAUUAUCGAUGUAAUGAAGUAUAAAAUUGUUCUCCGCAUGAACUACUUUAUUUUCUACUCGGCAAAGACAUUAUCAACGCAUAUGCAUUAAAAUUUGUGUGUGUGUGUGGGGGUGGUCUCACAAUGCAAAUAGUUUAUUUAACAAAAUGCAAAUAGUUUAUUUAACAAUCAAAAAUUAAAUAGCAAAAUGUAAAUAAAUUUGUAAUGAUUUUCGGAGAAAAAUGAACAUGUCUUUCGAAUUUUAUAUCCGUCAAUAUGUUUGGUAAACUGCACUUAAACCCUACAAUUAUUAUUCUAGCUUCAUUAUCAUUAACAAAAUAGCUUUGAUCAAUCUCUU
rnacentral:lncRNA from 1 species